rnacentral:rRNA from 1 species
AACGAACGCUGGCGGCAGGCCUAACACAUGCAAGUCGAGCGAGGACUUCGGUCCUAGCGGCGGACGGGUGAGUAACGCGUGGGAACGUGCCCUUUGCUUCGGAAUAGCCCUGGGAAACUGGGAGUAAUACCGGAUGAGCCCUUUGGGGGAAAGAUUUAUCGGCGAAGGAUCGGCCCGCGUUGGAUUAGGUAGUUGGUGGGGUAAUGGCCUACCAAGCCGACGAUCCAAAGCUGGUUUGAGAGGAUGAUCAGCCACACUGGGACUGAGACACGGCCCAGACUCCUACGGGAGGCAGCAGUGGGGAAUCUUAGACAAUGGGGGAAACCCUGAUCUAGCCAUGCCGCGUGAGCGAUGAAGGCCUUAGGGUUGUAAAGCUCUUUCAGCUGGGAAGAUAAUGACGGUACCAGCAGAAGAAGCCCCGGCUAACUCCGUG